AAAGGAAUCUAAAAAAUGCAGUCAACUCGGGCAGAUUUGUUUCGUUGCGCAGUGAAAACAACGAACCUAAAAUUCAUAUUUGAAAAACGUCACCUGCCUGGCACCACCUACUAACAUUAUUCGUACUGAGCGACGCGGCUAAUUCUGUGCAGAGUAGUCUACAGUGCACACACCUCAACGUGACAGUGUUACAACUGACGACCAAAUUAAGAAGAUGAGUUCUGGAAAAACACUGCAGAACGCUGCCCAGGUCAACCAACUUUCGGCGACUCCAAGCUUAACAAAGAGAAAAUAUGUAAAAGAAAAGACAACCGUUAGAAGCCCCACAGACAGCCUGCUCUCCCCAUGCACACAACGGCUAAUGAGGACGAGAGCUGCUAAAGACGCGCAGUCAGAAUUUCAGGUACCAGCGUUUAGUACAGAAGAUAAGGAAAAUGCUCCCUCAUAAGUAAAUGUGUGGGUAGAAGGCCGGCUUCUUCAACUGUCUGCAUUUUCCUGCGUUGUUCUGGCUGGACAAAGGGGCUUGCGGUCUGAGAGACAGCUGGGCCUGAAUUAUAAUGCUCUAUUGUAUAAUGUAAUAAAUAUACUUGUGUGGUCAUAACUGAUCUCUGGUCCCUCAGAAUAAGAAAACAUAUCAGAUUUCAUUAGGUGAUUUAUGCUUCUGUGUAUCAAGUUCUAAAGAAGACCCGGGGAUGCCAUGAUGUAGUAAUUAGUGACAGGUUAAGAGUUGAUGUCUUGAUGUGCUGUCUUAAAUAAACUAUAAUUUGGGCCCAUACACCAUGGAGAAUGAAGGACUGAACUUAUCAGUGAGCUCUGAUCUCCAUAAUCUCAAACAGAGGCUAGGAUUCAAGCAGCAUCUGUCCUAAACUUGACCAAAAAUUAAAAGCAGUAUUUUAUUCAUUUGGCAAGGACAGCAAUCACUAAGACCAACUUACUGAAUUUAUGACGAAAGUGGGUAACACUUGCGUUUACUCUUAAAUCAAAGUUAUGGACAAAUGUUGAUUGAUACAGACCACAGUAUUUGAAGAUUAUAAUGAACCAUGAUUUACAUGGUGUGUAAAACUGAAUUACAUGUGUAUAUAUAUAUAGAGAGGGAGCAUAUGUUUAGAAUACCGAUGUGUACUACUGAAGGCUGCUUCCAAGUGAACUUGCUGCUUAUGUGUUAGCUAUGUUUCCCCUUUUGCACACUCUGAACUUAACAAAAAAGUUUGUCAUGUUUAUUUUUCUUUAUGCAUCCCUUUAUGCAAAUCAAAUUUCUGCAUGCAGGUGCGUGGGUGUCAUACUUAAUUAAUUGGCCGUCAUAUCAAUCUUGCCUGCCAAAAUUUUUGGGAAAGGGGUGAGAAUUUAGUAAGAGGCAGAAGAAUAAAAAUACGAUGAUGAUGAUGAUGAUGAUGAUGAAACAAUAGGGGUCCUAUGCACCCUUGGUGCUUGGCCCCCUAAUGACAAAUUCCCUGGAGAAUAAAUGUCAAUGUAGGCCAACAUAUACUAUGCUAACCUAAAUAAGACAUCUCUUGGUAUUAUCAUCUGCAGAUACAUAAAAAUGUGUUAUUCAUGUUUAUUUUUCCCUUAAUAAAUAAAAUUUAAAUUACACAUA